rnacentral:misc_RNA from 1 species
GAUGAAGAACGCAGCGAAAUGCGAUAAGUAAUGUGAAUUGCAGAAUUCAGUGAAUCAUCGAAUCUUUGAACGCACAUUGUGCCCCUUGGUAUUCCGAGGGGCAUGCCUAUUCGAGCGUCAUUAUCACCCCUCAAGCCUAGCUUGGUGUUGAGGCCUGCUGUCAAGGCAGCCUCUAAAAUCAGUGGCAGUGCUGUCAGGCUCUAAGCGUAGUAAAUCUAAUCGCUAUAGACACCUGGUGGACACUCGCCAGAACCCCCCCAUUUUUUAAUGAUUGACCUCGGAUUAGGUAGGGAUACCCGCUGAACUUAAGCAUAUCAAUAAGCGGAGGA